rnacentral:rRNA from 1 species
CCGCCGGCGACCGGCGCACGGGUNAGGGUAACACGUAUGCAACCUGGCCGUGACAGAUGGAUAACCGGGAGAAAUCCCGCCUAAUACAGCAUGACGCCGGGAAGGGACAUCCCUUUCCGGCCAAAGGGGGCGACUCCGGUCACGGAUGGGCAUGCGGCGCAUUAGGUAGUUGGUGGGGCAACGGCCCACCAAGCCGACGAUGCGUAGGGGUUCUGAGAGGAAGGUCCCCCACAUUGGAACUGAGACACGGUCCAAACUCCUACGGGAGGCAGCAG